CCUACGGAGUGCAGCAGUGAGGAAUAUUGGUCAAUGGGCGCGAGCCUGAACCAGCCAAGUAGCGUGAAGGAUGACUGCCCGACGGGUUGUAAACUUCUGUUAUAAAGGAAUAAAGUGAGGCACGUGUGCCUUUUUGUAUGUACUUUAUGAAUAAGGAUCGGCUAACUCCGUGCCAGCAGCAGCGGUAAUACGGAGGGUCCGAGCGUUAUACGGAUUUAGUGGGUUUAAAGGGAGCGUAGAUGGGUUGUUAAGUCAGUUGUUAAAGUUUGCGGCUCAACCGUAAAAUUGCACUUGAUACUGGCAGCCUUGAGUACAGUUGAGGUAGGCGGCAUUC
rnacentral:rRNA from 1 species